UUGAACGCUGGCGGCAGGCCUAACACAUGCAAGUCGAACGGUAACAGGAAACAGCUUGCUGUUUCGCUGACGAGUGGCGGACGGGUGAGUAAUGUCUGGGAAACUGCCUGAUGGAGGGGGAUAACUACUGGAAACGGUAGCUAAUACCGCAUAACGUCGCAAGACCAAAGAGGGGGACCUUCGGGCCUCUUGCCAUCGGAUGUGCCCAGAUGGGAUUAGCUAGUAGGUGGGGUAACGGCUCACCUAGGCGACGAUCCCUAGCUGGUCUGAGAGGAUGACCAGCCACACUGGAACUGAGACACGGUCCAGACUCCUACGGGAGGCAGCAGUGGGGAAUAUUGCACAAUGGGCGCAAGCCUGAUGCAGCCAUGCCGCGUGUAUGAAGAAGGCCUUCGGGUUGUAAAGUACUUUCAGCGGGGAGGAAGGGAGUAAAGUUAAUACCUUUGCUCAUUGACGUUACCCGCAGAAGAAGCACCGGCUAACUCCGUGCCAGCAGCCGCGGUAAUACGGAGGGUGCAAGCGUUAAUCGGAAUUACUGGGCGUAAAGCGCACGCAGGCGGUUUGUUAAGUCAGAUGUGAAAUCCCCGGGCUCAACCUGGGAACUGCAUCUGAUACUGGCAAGCUUGAGUCUCGUAGAGGGGGGUAGAAUUCCAGGUGUAGCGGUGAAAUGCGUAGAGAUCUGGAGGAAUACCGGUGGCGAAGGCGGCCCCCUGGACGAAGACUGACGCUCAGGUGCGAAAGCGUGGGGAGCAAACAGGAUUAGAUACCCUGGUAGUCCACGCCGUAAACGAUGAGUGCUAGGUGUUGGAUCCUUUCCGGGAUUCAGUGCCGCAGCUAACGCAUUAAGCACUCCGCCUGGGGAGUACGACCGCAAGGUUGAAACUCAAAGGAAUUGACGGGGGCCCGCACAAGCGGUGGAGCAUGUGGUUUAAUUCGAUGCAACGCGAAGAACCUUACCUGGUCUUGACAUCCACGGAAGUUUUCAGAGAUGAGAAUGUGCCUUCGGGAACCGUGAGACAGGUGCUGCAUGGCUGUCGUCAGCUCGUGUUGUGAAAUGUUGGGUUAAGUCCCGCAACGAGCGCAACCCUUAUCCUUUGUUGCCAGCGGUCCGGCCGGGAACUCAAAGGAGACUGCCAGUGAUAAACUGGAGGAAGGUGGGGAUGACGUCAAGUCAUCAUGGCCCUUACGACCAGGGCUACACACGUGCUACAAUGGCGCAUACAAAGAGAAGCGACCUCGCGAGAGCAAGCGGACCUCAUAAAGUGCGUCGUAGUCCGGAUUGGAGUCUGCAACUCGACUCCAUGAAGUCGGAAUCGCUAGUAAUCGUGGAUCAGAAUGCCACGGUGAAUACGUUCCCGGGCCUUGUACACACCGCCCGUCACACCAUGGGAGUGGGUUGCAAAAGAAGUAGGUAGCUUAACCUUCGGGAGGGCGCUUACCACUUUGUGAUUCAUGACUGGGGUG
rnacentral:rRNA from 1 species